AGUUGAGCUACGAUCUAUUUUGCCAACAUAUAUCUGAAUUUAGGUUCAGUUUUACUUUCUUCCUCUUUUCUGCAAUACUGCACUAAUCCGUGAAGGCUGAAAGGUUGUUCAAACAUGUUCUGCAAAUUGAAGAACAAAGCACCCACAGAAUAAAACCAAACCUAGGUAGUCUAACGAGCAUCCAGUUAUUGUGCCACCUGCUCACACACAUGCCUCUCAUCCCUUAUCUUGUCCCUGCCAAAUCACAGAUGAACCAGGUGAUGGUCAGAGAGCAAUGAGGCAAAUCAUUCUGAGCGCAAGGCAGAGCACCAAACCAAUCAAGGGAGACACAAUUAAAUACACAAAAUGAAGAAAGAGAUAACUCCUCUGAUCCCCACAAUACCUGCAGAAUCCACCACCACGAGAUGUUUCCGAAACCCCAGCACGUCACAGCGGCGGAAACCAAUAAUAAACCACGAGUACCAAAUUCGACAAGAAAGAUGGGCACGAGAUGCGAUAUGACCAGGAACCUACUCGAUUUGCAGGAGAAG
rnacentral:lncRNA from 1 species